rnacentral:rRNA from 1 species
CCUACGGGAGGCAGCAGUGGGGAAUAUUGGGCAAUGGGCGCAAGCCUGACCCAGCAACGCCGCGUGAAGGAAGAAGGCUUUCGGGUUGUAAACUUCUUUUGUCAGGGAAGAGUAGAAGACGGUACCUGAUGAAUAAGCCACGGCUAACUACGUGCCAGCAGCCGCGGUAAUACGUAGGUGGCAAGCGUUAUCCGGAUUUACUGGGUGUAAAGGGCGUGUAGGCGGGAGAGCAAGUCAGACGUGAAAUUCCAGGGCUCAACCCUGGAACUGCGUUUGAAACUGUUCUUCUUGAGUGAUGGAGAGGCAGGCGGAAUUCCGUGUGUAGCGGUGAAAUGCGUAGAUAUACGGAGGAACACCGAUUGCGAAGGCAGCGUACCGGCGCCGGACUGACGCUGAGGCACGAAAGCGUGGGUAUCGAACAGGAUUAGAUACCCCAGUAGUC